rnacentral:rRNA from 1 species
AUUGAACGCUGGCGGCAUGCUUUACACAUGCAAGUCGGACGAGUGGCGAACGGGUGAGUAACGCAUCGGAACGUACCGAGUAAAGGGGGAUAACUGCCCGAAAGGAUAGCUAAUACCGCAUACUAUUCGAUCGGCCCAUGGCUGAUUAGCUGGUUGGUGGGGUAACGGCCAACCAAGGCGACGAUCAGUAACGGGUCUGAGAGGAUGAUCCGCCACACUGGUACUGAGACACGGCCCAGACUCCUACGGGAGGCAGCAGUGGGGAAUAUUGGACAAUGGGCGCAAGCCUGAUCCAGCCAUGCCGCGUGUCUGAAGAAGGCCUUCGGGUUGUAAAGGACUUUUGUCAGGGAAGCGUUACCUGCAGAAUAAGCACCGGCUAACUCCGUGCCAGCAGCCGCGGUAAUAC